rnacentral:lncRNA from 1 species
CACUAGCAAAGGCUCAAUCCCUUCAUUAUUCAUUUGAUCACAAAAGAAGGAAUGAGAGGAAAAAUACUUUUAUUUUUCACCAAGCAAUCACCAAGCGCAGGCAAAUUAGGUGCCGGCAGACUGACCAAUCCCAGGGGGCCAUGAAGCCUUUCCCUGUGCUGGAGAGUAUAUAAGCAGACCUCCCUGGGUUCCCUAGGUCCCUGUAGCAGCAUUGAGGCAUUCCUGCAAUAAAGGCUGUUGAGAAGAAUCUGGCCGUUGUGUCUUUCUUGCUGGUCAAGAGCAGACACAACACAGUACCAUGGGAUGAUCACCAAGAACAGCAGCAACAGUGGAGUGGAUCACUCUGAACUUAGAAUGCCACCGAGGGCAGUGCUGGAGAAGUGACACCAGCCCUUUGGAGAAUCCCAGAAGAUUAUGUGUGGAUCCCAGACAUUGAAACAAGAAGCUGUAACAUUGAAUUUUCCUUGGAGACCCCAAGAUGUUUGAGAUGCCAGAGCCAUGAACUAUCUGCUGAGGAAAUCUGCUAACAGGGAGUGGAACCAGCCCAAGAGAAAGAAGUUUGUUGCAGUCAACAAAGAUAAAAAAGAGGUUGGAGAUCUGAAGAGAGUUUUGACAUCAGACAUGAAGAUCCAAAGUUUGGAGUUUACCCAUUUGGUUUCCUGUCUUGCUUUGGAGAUUACAGUUAGGUUUAGUUAUGUCCCAUAUGUUUGAGCAAGCCUCUGGGGUUCAGAGACUGGAAUGUGAUGAUUUCUAUAUGCUUGGGCUAGGGAGUGGCACUAUUAGGAGUGUGGCCUUAUUGGAUUUUUAUUGAUCCAACAUGUUGGGGACUCCCCUCUCAGCACGCAGGCCAGAGGAGAGACCCAGAACAAAGAAAGAACACACAUUUUAUACCUUUGUAAGGGGCAGAUUUGAGCAACAGGGUUCUCAUUGGUGCUUCUGUCCAACCCCUCAUUAUGUUUUAAUUAUGUUAUUAAUGUUAAUAAUGUUAUUAAUGUUUCCCUCAUUAAGUUUCAUCCACAGGUAAAGGAACCCAAGCUGGGCCCAAUGCCAAGUGCACUUCUUCAAUGUUACAUUCUGGGACAGGAGAGAGGAUCACUGGUUGAGCCUACCUACUCUGUGGACACAUUGUAAUCCUGAAACUGUUCUGAGCUUCCAUUCAUGGCCAGGUGUGCUCCCAGUGUAACAGAAGGUUCAUGUUGAUACUUUGAAUCUGUGUAUGAUCCUGUGUCAGGUUGACAUGUUUGGAACCAAACAUUCCCAUAACUUAUGGCUAACUGAGUUGGUGAUUGAAGAUUGCUUCAGGGAAGUGUCAGGGAAUUGUUACCUGUUAAGUCACCAUGGUUUUGAAGAAAUCUUUUUUUUUUUCCAGGACACCUGAUCACUUCAUCGUUGGGUUCUGUGUUUGAAAACUGGGCCAGCUCUGAACCUGGGUGACAGAACACACUGUGGAGAAACCUUGUCUCUAGGAUCUUGCUCAUACACUCUUGGCUCCUCUUGCUCUGUUAUUGUUUUUGACAUAAUCCACUCCUGCCAUAUGUGUCAAAUUCCAUUGUUUCCUAACCUGGGUGAGGACAAUGGCCCAACAACUUAUGACAUGGCCUCACUUCAGGUCUUAACCCUUCAUUGUUGUUCCACCAUUCUUACUAUUAAGUCAUAGGCCACAAUUUCUCAGGCCUCAGGUUGCAAAAGCCAAGAGCAUCUUUAUAAGCUACCAGAGAGGCCCCUGCCUUUCACAAUGAGCUAUUAACCUUCAAUUAAUCUCUCAUGUCCUCUUAUUGUCUGGUUAAUAAUUUAGGCGUGCUUAAUAUCUACCCUAUAAUUUCUUUAUGAUUAGGGUCAUUUUCCUCCAUAUUUCUCAGACACCUAGAACAUGACAUCCACUGUACUAUUCUCAUCUAUAACAUGCUUUUCUGGUCAUUUCUGGUUCAAGGCCUAAUCAGUACUCUGCUAUCUGGUGGCAGGUGGAGCUCCUCAGUGCCCACUGGGAAAGUGAUCUGGCUCCCAAGACCACCAGCCUGUUCAAGUCAUGGAUGGCACCAGUUUUCACAGGCUGAGUGAUUAGAAAACAGACUCUGGGACAGCUGUGUACAUAAGAGUCAUCUGGGCAUUGCUCUUACAAUCCCUGUAGAAGACAAGAGCUCAGAUAAAAACUGGUAUGCAUAUGAA